GGAGUCUUAGUUCCACUAAUCAGGAGGUGUAGAAGGAGUCAUAGUUCCACUAAUCAGGAGGUGUAGAAGGAGUUAUAGUACCACUAAUCAGGAGGUGUAGAAGGAGUUAUAGUACCACUAAUCAGGAGGUCUAGAAGGAGUCAUAGUACCACUAAUCAGGAGGUGUAGAAGGAGUCAUAGUACCACUAAUCAGGAGGUGUAGAAGGAGUCAUAGUACCACUAAUCAGGAGGUCUAGAAGGAGUCAUAGUACCACUAAUCAGGAGGUCUAGAAGGAGUCUUAGUACCACUAAUCAGGAGGUCUAGAAGGAGUCAUAGUUCCACUAAUCAGGAGGUGUAGAAGGAGUUAUAGUACCACUAAUCAGGAGGUGUAGAAGGAGUCAUAGUUCCACUAAUCAGGAGGUGUAGAAGGAGUCAUAGUUCCACUAAUCAGGAGGUGUAGAAGGAGUCAUAGUUCCACUAAUCAGGAGGUGUAGAAGGAGUCAUAGUUCCACUAAUCAGGAGGUGUAGAAGGAGUCUUAGUACCACUAAUCAGGAGGUCUAGAAGGAGUCAUAGUUCCACUAAUCAGGAGGUGUAGAAGGAGUUAUAGUACCACUAAUCAGGAGGUGUAGAAGGAGUCAUAGUACCACUAAUCAGGAGGUGUAGAAGGAGUCAUAGUACCACUAAUCAGGAGGUGUAGAAGGAGUCAUAG